CACUUUUUUUUAACAAAGUGAAGGGUCCUGUCAGAGGACCCUGGUUGACCUGGCUGACUAAUCCACCUUCAGAUUGACCCACAAUAUGGUCCCUUUAAAAUUCAGACAGUUCCAAGGCUUCUUUUGUACAUGACAUGAUUAAAAAAUCACUUAUAGAACCUGAAGCAUAAAAAUGUCAAUUAAUAAAAAAUAUAAACCUUUUCAAGUUAAAA